rnacentral:lncRNA from 1 species
AAAUUUAAGGCAUGAAUUUACAUAACUAACUCAUAAACAGCUCCUGACCAUAGGAUCAUCAUGAGGAUGGUGAUCGAUCCGGAAGGUUGGUGUACGAUCGCUUCCUUAGGGUAGAUGUGUCUUGAGUCUACGGUGUGGAGAUAUCGAAGCGAGAGUACAGAUAUUCAUUGAGAAUAAGAGUACUGAGCGUGACUACCUUGAGC